rnacentral:rRNA from 1 species
GUUGGCGGCCAUAGUUGGGGGCAAGGACCCGUACCCAUUCCGAACACGGAAGUGAAUCCCCCAAGCGAUCCAGGCUGUAGUGUUGUGCGAAAGCCUACGCGAAGCCUGGACAGCUGCCAACU